GGCUGGUCCAAUGGUAGUGGGUUAUCAAAACUUAUUAACAUUAGUGUCACUAAAGUUGGUAUACAACCCCCCACUGCUAAAUUUGCCUGGCUUUUU
rnacentral:Y_RNA from 1 species